GAUGAACGCUGGCGGCGUGCCUAAUACAUGCCAGUCGAGCGAACGGACGAGAAGCUUGCUUCUCUGAUGUUAGCGGCGGACGGGUGAGUAACACGUGGAUAACCUACCUAUAAGACUGGGAUAACUUCGGGAAACCGUAGCUAAUACCGGAUAAUAUUUUGAACCGCAUGGUUCAAAAGUGAAAGACGGUCUUGCUGUCACUUAUAGAUGGAUCCGCGCUGCAUUAUCUAGUUGGUAAGGUAACGGCUUACCAAGGCAACGAUGCAUAGCCGACCUGAGAGGGUGAUCGGCCACACUGGAACUGAGACACGGUCCAGACUCCUACGGGAGGCAGCAGUAGGGAAUCUUCCGCAAUGGGCGAAAGCCUGACGGAGCAACGCCGCGUGAGUGAUGAAGGUCUUCGGAUCGUAAAACUCUGUUAUUAGGGAAGAACAUAUGUGUAAGUAACUGUGCACAUCUUGACGGUACCUAAUCAGAAAGCCACGGCUAACUACGUG
rnacentral:rRNA from 1 species